AUUAUAUUUGCGCGGCACGCUCUGCAUCUGCGUGCCCUGCUAACGUUAAUUUCCAUUGAUUCACACACACUCUAACAAACGAAAAUGUCCGCCAAUUCUGCCAUUAUCAAGUUUGCUUAUAGAAAUCACCAGGAAUUUAUCAGCGCUGCAUUUAAAAAGCAACACAGGGCAGACUGCAAAUUCUGCAAAGCAACAAUUUCGGAAACCUGUGGGACAACGUCAAACUUCGUCAGACACCUGCAGAGGAAUCAUACAUCGCGGAGGCCGUAGUUAGUGGAGAGAGCAGUGGAUGGUGAGAGACAGUCCUGCUGGACGUGUGACUGGGCCGUCUCAUCGGAACAGAACCCCGCAGACACAACAAGGACGUCCCCCCCCUGCAUGUUACAGAAAUGGAACGUGCCGCCGGUGUAUCCAGAGAGCACCGUAACAGCAGAGCCCAACUGACCUCAGCGUUUUCUGGGUUUUGGUGCGACUGGCAGGUGUCCCCUCCAGAGUCAUCGAGCCACCAGCAGCGGCAUCCUCUGAGGCUCUCAGAGCUACCUGGAGUUCAAAGUCACCUCUGAACUGACCAGCCAAGCAUUUGGGUCUCCUACAGCAGAGCCGGCCGUUAAGGGCAAGUAGCUGGGUGGUUCUCUCUCCAUCAGAAAGUAUAUCUUCUGUGCUUUGAGUGUGUGUGAAUGUGUGAAUGUCUGUAUAUAUGUGUGUGUUUGUCUACACAUGUAUGUCUGUGGCUAUAUGUCUGUGUGUUUUUGUCUAUAUGGGUAUGUAUUUUUGAUUAUGUGUUUGUGUGUGCGUGUUGAUGUCUAUAUACAGUGUGUCUCAGUGUGUGUAUUGUCAUGUUUAUAUACAAUUUGUCUGUCUAUAUGAGUCUAUUUAUAUGUGUGUGCUUCUGCAUAGAUGCAUGUGUUUGUGUCUGUGUGCUGUGUGUAUAUUUGUGUCUAUAUACUGUGUGUGUGUUUUGUCUAUAUACUGUGUGUGUGUUUUGUCUAUAUG